UACGUAGGGGGCGAGCGUUGUCCGGAAUCAUUGGGCGUAAAGCGCGUGUAGGCGGCUCGAUAAGUCUGCUGUGAAAGUCCAGGGCUCAACCCUGGAAUGCCGGUGGAAACUGUCGAGCUUGAGUCUGGAAGAGGCGAGUGGAAUUCCUGGUGUAGCGGUGAAAUGCGCAGAUAUCAGGAGGAACACCAAUGGCGAAGGCAGCUCGCUGGGACGGUACUGACGCUGAGACGCGAAAGCGUGGGGAGCAAACAGG
rnacentral:rRNA from 1 species